rnacentral:misc_RNA from 1 species
AACUUUUAGCAAUGGAUCUCUUGGCUCUCGCAUCGAUGACGAACGCAGCGAAAUGCGAUAAGUAAUGUCAAUUGCAGAAUUCAGUGAAUCAUCGAAUCUUUGAACGCACCUUGCGCUCCUUGGUAUUCCGAGGAGCAUGCCUGUUUGAGUGUCAUUAAUAUAUAUAUCAACCUUCUCUUGUUGAGUGGUUUGGAUGUGGGGGUUUGCUGAGCUCUUAAAGGGUUCAGCUCUCCUGAAAUGCAUUAGCAGGACGACCCUUGUUCAUUGGUGUGAUAACUAUCUACGCUAUUGAAUAUGAGGGGCAGUUCAGCUUUCUAACAGUCCUUGGACAAAUUCAUCAUUAAUGUGACCUCAAAUCAGGUAGGACUACCCGCUGAACUUAAGCAUAUCAAUAAGCGGAGGCU